UUUCUUCUAACUCUGGUAUUUAACGACUUAAAUAUGAUUAAUCGGCGUUUUAUUGGUACUGACAAAAUCCGGCCAUUUUCAGCGUCGAAAGAGCAAACUUUUGGUGAAAAAUUUCGUUUUUCCUCAAAUAUUCCUAAACUGUUGGACCUACGAGAAAAUUGCAUACAACCUUAUUUUUAGUUGACAAUUAGAGCUACAAUUUUUGUCUGAUACAUUAUUCGCUAAUGUUGACAGUUUACGAAUAUUUGACAAAAAACAAAAAAACAGUUUAUUGCAAAACACUCGUUAACUAUUGACGAUAGAAAAAAAGCGUCAUACAAAAGUUGUAGCUUUUAACAGUACCUACAACUUUCGUCUGAAACAUUUCUCGCUAACGGCAACAAGUAAGCAGUUAUUUACAAUAAACGAAACUUUCGAGAAAUCUGAAUCCCUUAAAAUUUCGGAAGAAUUAAAAUUCCCUUUUUUCCAAAAUUUUGAAAAAUGCUUCAAAUAAAAAUUAUAGAUACUGCUAUUACCUGUAAAAAAGGUCGUAUACAAUUUUCUUCUAUCUCGAAUACUUCACCAUUAACCGAUUAAUCGUCAAUUACUCUUUAAUGAGAAGAGUUACAAGGAAAUUGCAUAGGAUCGUUUUUGUAUCCAACAAUUACAACUACAACUUUGGUCGGAAACAUUUUCUGUUAGGAUGAAAAAAAUUUAUUUUCAAUCAACAUUUUUCUUCAUUACAUAUAAUGGAUACAUGGAAGAUCUGAACGAUGGAUCAUGAGUAUUUGGGCAUCUGGGAUUAGUAAUUAAUAGACAUAUGAAAUAACCAAAUGCUUAUCUUUUAUUUAAACUUUUUAAUAAAAAAAUACAUUUUAGAAAUCACAUAGGGAGAAACAUUAGCUCUGGACUUCAUUAUGCAACAAAAUUGAGAAGUGCAUUUUUUUAGCAAAGGUUCUAAGUGAAACGUCCAGAAUCGUAUGUCGAAAAUGAAUUUCAUCUAAUCACGUUUCCAUGCCGUAAUUGCGUGAAAGUUCGUGACGCACAACUCAUUAUCGUACACUACGGAUAGUCGUGCUCCGCUGUGGCUGUUUCAUGUCGAUAUCCCGCAAUUUCCGUAGCGCUAUCGCCUGUAACAGUAUGUACAAGCAUGACUACAGCUGGAGAUAGAGAGCCUGUAAUCGGAGUCACGAAACAACGUACUGCAUUUUAAUUAGUUUACUUUAUAAAAGGCGUGAGAUAGUUCGAAUGACAUAUUUUUAUUUCGCUACCCUUUUAAUCCUAGAUUCUCAAUCCACAUCGUUCGUUAAAUAGUAACUAACUAAUUUGUAGGAUCUGCCAUCUUUUUAUCGUCAUGUACGUACACUGUACCUGUAUUACCCAGCUUCCACCGAAGCUCGAUUACGCGCGGAACGAGACAAAAGAAAGGAAAACAGAAGCUCGUGCCCAAGCGUUUCAUUCUCUCGGGCAGGAUGUCGGAAAUGUCAAAUCGAAAGUACGCUGUGCUCUACAGAUACACUCGGAUUCCGGCUAGAUGACUCUUUUCCCAGAAUGAGCAAUAAAUCCCGUAAUAUCCAUACGGCGUGCACCGCUUCCACGCCAGCCAAUUUAUCGAACAAUAAAGUAAGAGCUUCCAUUGUUCGGGGAUAGGAAAGUUAGAAUAAAAACUUCCGUUUUGCACCGCGUUUCCACCUUCGCCACGGUCCCCGUAUGUACGUAUUACCGUGAUAUCACCGUCACGUCGCGGAAACCGACGACACGUUAAAACAAGCUUCACGCCCCUCGAGAGUUAAAAUCGUUCGUAGAUAACACACGACAUAUUUUAAUCCUGACUACUCGCAACACUACUUAUGAAGUUCAUUCACUAGAUUAUCCCCCCAGAUAAUGACGUUGUAAUGUACUUAAUAGAGUUUGAACAUAUUAAAAAAGAAUGAAUACUA